UGGGGAAUUUUGGACAAUGGGCGAAAGCCUGAUCCAGCAAUGCCGCGUGUGUGAAGAAGGCCUUCGGGUUGUAAAGCACUUUUUGUCCGGAAAGAAAUCCUUGGCUCUAAUACAGUCGGGGGAUGACGGUACCGGAAGAAUAAGCACCGGCUAACUACGUGCCAGCAGCCGCGGUAAUACGUAGGGUGCAAGCGUUAAUCGGAAUUACUGGGCGUAAAGCGUGCGCAGGCGGUUUGCUAAGACCGAUGUGAAAUCCCCGGGCUCAACCUGGGAACUGCAUUGGUGACUGGCAGGCUAGAGUAUGGCAGAGGGGGGUAGAAUUCCACGUGUAGCAGUGAAAUGCGUAGAGAUGUGGAGGAAUACCGAUGGCGAAGGCAGCCCCCUGGGCCAAUACUGACGCUCAUGCACGAAAGCGUGGGGAGCAAACAGGAUUAG
rnacentral:rRNA from 1 species